CAGCACAAGACGUCAUUUAGACGUUGUUUUUUGGGCUAAAUCACGUCGGCCCGUCAUGACCUUCAUUUAGUCCAAAAAAAGACGUUGAAAACUGGUCUUUGUUUGGUCCGUCUAAUUCAGUCCAAAUUUAGCCUAAAAUUAGACGUCUUUUUCGGACCACUUUUCAACGUGUCUCCAUUCAAUAAUAAUCCUGACAAAAUAUGCAUGAAUGUAUAAAUACUGAGCACAUUGAACGAUAAUGAAACAUAUGCUUUGUUUAACCUAUUAAUAUUUCUGUUUAUUUUAAUUAAAUAAAUAUCUUAAAUGUGCUCUAAACAGGUCAUUUCGGUCCUGUACAGCACUGAUAGAAGCACUUCAUUUUCAUCUUUUAACAAAUAUCUUUAUUUUCUUUUAAUAUGAUAUUAUUGGCAGAGGCGCGCGUCCGUCUCAUGCUUUGUGAUCACGUGAUUAUUCAACGGGGAGACGCGCGUUCUGGAUUUACAGUUUCUCCUCAGACAAGUGUUUCUGUUUUGUGGUCGAUUCUGGGGUAAGUUUCCUUAAAUUCGUGGUUACUUUAUUGAAAUUAGUUCACAGGGAUGUUAAUUCAGUUGUCAGUAUAUGUCGAUACGACUAAUAAAUGAUCAAUUUGAAUGUUUAUCGUUUGUUAGUAAUGUUAGCUCGAGCGCUGUCAGCUUGACUGAGCUCGUCGCGCAGGUGACGAGCAGCUUACGGCUAGCCUGAUUGAGCUCGUGGCACAGCUGUGAGCUAGCAGUUAACAUCCUUUUCUUGGUGUGUCUUGAUGUUUUCUAUUGGCUAAAGACAAUAAAAGCAUAGAGAUAUAUAAAGCAAAGACAACUAUAAGAUAAUCCUUCAGGAGCCAGUAAAACAUAUAGUUACAGCACUAAACAUACUUGUUAUGGGUGCAAAUAAGGAGACUUACACAUGUCUCUGUGAAACUGACAAUCUCAGGUAGGAGCUGCUGGUUUGAUGUUGGCAGUAUGGAUCACGGUCUGUGACUGAUGAGGAGCUGGUCUGGAGACAUGAAGAGGUUGUCAACAGAGGUCUGAAGCUAAUACCUGCCACGGUCUGAUUGGUAUUUCAUGAGGAAUCAUGGGUUCCUUGGUAUUUGAAUUAUGUUGAACCAGGCAAGUACUCCAUCUUUCGAUCAUGUGUUCUGUCUGCUUACACAUUCCUAGCCAGAAUAACAUUUCGUGCUCUUAGCUUAGACUUCUCAGCGUGUGCGCAUAUCUCAGGUCAGAUAUGACUAUUUUCUAAUCUUCACUGGUCAAUGAAAGUUUGUCUUAAAAGUCAAUAAUGUAUGUGGGAAAUUGUCUCCUCUUUGCAGGCCAUCCAUCCAAGAUCAUCUAUCUGAGCUGCUGAAAACUGCCUCGGUACGGAUCUGUUGGAGCUUUGUGUCACUGACUGAAUUUCUGCAAAUUCCUGUUCCGUGUCAUAUUGCUUAUGCAAGACUGAAUCCAUAAAGGUGAUGGUCUGUGGAGACUGUGGGGGAUUCCUUCUGCUGUCAUUUAAACAUGAGCAGGAGUAAUGACGGGUUUAAAUGGACGCAACUAAUAUUAUGUCAGAGUCCGCUGCUUAUGCUGUAACCAUAAAGCAACCAGGACAACACACCUGGAGUGACCGAGAGCAGGAUGAAGGAGGAAUCGGAUGAGAAAAUGUCAACUGGUGCCCAUGAGCAGG